rnacentral:rRNA from 1 species
AGCGUACACGGUGGAUGCCCUGGCAGUCAGAGGCGAUGAAGGACGUGCUAAUCUGCGAUAAGCGUCGGUAAGGUGAUAUGAACCGUUAUAACCGGCGAUUUCCGAAUGGGGAAACCCAGUGUGUUUCGACACACUAUCAUUAACUGAAUCCAUAGGUUAAUGAGGCGAACCGGGGGAACUGAAACAUCUAAGUACCCCGAGGAAAAGAAAUCAACCGAGAUUCCCCCAGUAGCGGCGAGCGAACGGGGAGGAGCCCAGAGCCUGAAUCAGUGUGUGUGUUAGUGGAAGCGUCUGGAAAGGCGCGCGAUACAGGGUGACAGCCCCGUACACAAAAAUGCACAUACUGUGAGCUCGAUGAGUAGGGCGGGACACGUGGUAUCCUGUCUGAAUAUGGGGGGACCAUCCUCCAAGGCUAAAUACUCCUGACUGACCGAUAGUGAACCAGUACCGUGAGGGAAAGGCGAAAAGAACCCCGGCGAGGGGAGUGAAAAAGAACCUGAAACCGUGUACGUACAAGCAGUGGGAGCCUCUUUUAUGGGGUGACUGCGUACCUUUUGUAUAAUGGGUCAGCGACUUAUAUUCUGUAGCAAGGUUAACCGAAUAGGGGAGCCGAAGGGAAACCGAGUCUUAACUGGGCGUUAAGUUGCAGGGUAUAGACCCGAAACCCGGUGAUCUAGCCAUGGGCAGGUUGAAGGUUGGGUAACACUAACUGGAGGACCGAACCGACUAAUGUUGAAAAAUUAGCGGAUGACUUGUGGCUGGGGGUGAAAGGCCAAUCAAACCGGGAGAUAGCUGGUUCUCCCCGAAAGCUAUUUAGGUAGCGCCUCGUGAAUUCAUCUCCGGGGGUAGAGCACUGUUUCGGCAAGGGGGUCAUCCCGACUUACCAACCCGAUGCAAACUGCGAAUACCGGAGAAUGUUAUCACGGGAGACACACGGCGGGUGCUAACGUCCGUCGUGAAGAGGGAAACAACCCAGACCGCCAGCUAAGGUCCCAAAGUCAUGGUUAAGUGGGAAACGAUGUGGGAAGGCCCAGACAGCCAGGAUGUUGGCUUAGAAGCAGCCAUCAUUUAAAGAAAGCGUAAUAGCUCACUGGUCGAGUCGGCCUGCGCGGAAGAUGUAACGGGGCUAAACCAUGCACCGAAGCUGCGGCAGCGACACUGUGUGUUGUUGGGUAGGGGAGCGUUCUGUAAGCCUGUGAAGGUGUGCUGUGAGGCAUGCUGGAGGUAUCAGAAGUGCGAAUGCUGACAUAAGUAACGAUAAAGCGGGUGAAAAGCCCGCUCGCCGGAAGACCAAGGGUUCCUGUCCAACGUUAAUCGGGGCAGGGUGAGUCGACCCCUAAGGCGAGGCCGAAAGGCGUAGUCGAUGGGAAACAGGUUAAUAUUCCUGUACUUGGUGUUACUGCGAAGGGGGGACGGAGAAGGCUAUGUUGGCCGGGCGACGGUUGUCCCGGUUUAAGCGUGUAGGCUGGUUUUCCAGGCAAAUCCGGAAAAUCAAGGCUGAGGCGUGAUGACGAGGCACUACGGUGCUGAAGCAACAAAUGCCCUGCUUCCAGGAAAAGCCUCUAAGCAUCAGGUAACAUCAAAUCGUACCCCAAACCGACACAGGUGGUCAGGUAGAGAAUACCAAGGCGCUUGAGAGAACUCGGGUGAAGGAACUAGGCAAAAUGGUGCCGUAACUUCGGGAGAAGGCACGCUGAUAUGUAGGUGAAGUCCCUCGCGGAUGGAGCUGAAAUCAGUCGAAGAUACCAGCUGGCUGCAACUGUUUAUUAAAAACACAGCACUGUGCAAACACGAAAGUGGACGUAUACGGUGUGACGCCUGCCCGGUGCCGGAAGGUUAAUUGAUGGGGUCAGCGCAAGCGAAGCUCUUGAUCGAAGCCCCGGUAAACGGCGGCCGUAACUAUAACGGUCCUAAGGUAGCGAAAUUCCUUGUCGGGUAAGUUCCGACCUGCACGAAUGGCGUAAUGAUGGCCAGGCUGUCUCCACCCGAGACUCAGUGAAAUUGAACUCGCUGUGAAGAUGCAGUGUACCCGCGGCAAGACGGAAAGACCCCGUGAACCUUUACUAUAGCUUGACACUGAACAUUGAGCCUUGAUGUGUAGGAUAGGUGGGAGGCUUUGAAGUGUGGACGCCAGUCUGCAUGGAGCCGACCUUGAAAUACCACCCUUUAAUGUUUGAUGUUCUAACGUGGACCCGUGAUCCGGGUUGCGGACAGUGUCUGGUGGGUAGUUUGACUGGGGCGGUCUCCUCCUAAAGAGUAACGGAGGAGCACGAAGGUUGGCUAAUCCUGGUCGGACAUCAGGAGGUUAGUGCAAUGGCAUAAGCCAGCUUGACUGCGAGCGUGACGGCGCGAGCAGGUGCGAAAGCAGGUCAUAGUGAUCCGGUGGUUCUGAAUGGAAGGGCCAUCGCUCAACGGAUAAAAGGUACUCCGGGGAUAACAGGCUGAUACCGCCCAAGAGUUCAUAUCGACGGCGGUGUUUGGCACCUCGAUGUCGGCUCAUCACAUCCUGGGGCUGAAGUAGGUCCCAAGGGUAUGGCUGUUCGCCAUUUAAAGUGGUACGCGAGCUGGGUUUAGAACGUCGUGAGACAGUUCGGUCCCUAUCUGCCGUGGGCGCUGGAGAACUGAGGGGGGCUGCUCCUAGUACGAGAGGACCGGAGUGGACGCAUCACUGGUGUUCGGGUUGUCAUGCCAAUGGCACUGCCCGGUAGCUAAAUGCGGAAGAGAUAAGUGCUGAAAGCAUCUAAGCACGAAACUUGCCCCGAGAUGAGUUCU